CCUACGGGAGGCAGCAGUGGGGGAUAUUGCACAAUGGGGGAAACCCUGAUGCAGCGACGCCGCGUGUGGGAAGACGGUCCUCUGGAUUGUAAACCACUGUCCCCAGGGACGAAGAUGACGGUACCUGGGGAGGAAGCUCCGGCUAACUACGUGCCAGCAGCCGCGGUAAUACGUAGGGAGCGAGCGUUGUCCGGAAUUACUGGGUGUAAGGGGAGCGUAGGCGGGACUGCAAGUUGGGUGUCAAAUCUACCGGCUCAACCGGUAGCCGCACUCAAAACUGCAGUUCUUGAGUGAAGUAGAGGCAGGCGGAAUUCCUAGUGUAGCGGUGAAAUGCGUAGAUAUUAGGAGGAACACCAGUGGCGAAGGCGGCCUGCUGGGCUUUUACUGACGCUGAGGCUCGAAAGUGUGGGGAGCAAACAGGAUUAGAUACCCUGGUAGUC
rnacentral:rRNA from 1 species